UACGUAGGGUGCAAGCGUUAAUCGGAAUUACUGGGCGUAAAGCGUGCGCAGGCGGUAAUGUAAGACAGGUGUGAAAUCCCAGGGCUCAACCUUGGAACUGCAUUUGUGACUGCAUUGCUGGAGUGCGGCAGAGGGGGAUGGAAUUCCGCGUGUAGCAGUGAAAUGCGUAGAUAUACGGAGGAACACCGAUGGCGAAGGCAAUCCCCUGGGCCUGCACUGACGCUCAUGCACGAAAGCGUGGGGAGCAAACAGG
rnacentral:rRNA from 1 species